rnacentral:rRNA from 1 species
AGGGCACCACCAGGAGUGGAGCCUGCGGCUUAAUUUGACUCAACACGGGAAAACUCACCCGGCCCGGACACUGGAAGGAUUGACAGAUUGAGAGCUCUUUCUUGAUUCAGUGGGUGGUGGUGCAUGGCCGUUCUUAGUUGGUGGAGUGAUUUGUCUGGUUAAUUCCGAUAACGAACGGGACUCUAGCCUGUUAAAUAGAUCGUUGGCUUACAAACGCCGGCGAGACUUCUUAGAGGGACAGGGGGCGAUUCAGCCGCACGAAACAGAGCAAUAACAGGUCUGUGAUGCCCUUAGAUGUCCGGGGCCGCACGCGCGCUACACUGAAGUGAUCAGCGUGCAUUUUGAAACCUACUCUGUCAAGAGUGGGGAACCCAAUGAACCUUCUUCGUGAUUGGGAUAGGGGAUUGUAAUUAUUCCCCUUGAACGAGGAAUUCCCAGUAAGCGCGAAUCAUAAGUUUGCGCUGAUUACGUCCCUGCCCUUUGUACACACCGCCCGUCGCUACUACCGAUUGAAUGUUU